rnacentral:rRNA from 1 species
CAGCAGCAGCCGCGGGAAUACGUAGGUGGCAAGCGUUGUCCGGAAUUAUUGGGCGUAAAGGGCUCGCAGGCGGUUUCUUAAGUCUGAUGUGAAAGCCCCCGGCUCAACCGGGGAGGGUCAUUGGAAACUGGGAAACUUGAGUGCAGAAGAGGAGAGUGGAGUUCCACGUGUAGCGGUGAAAUGCGUAGAGAUGUGGAGGAACACCAGUGGCGAAGGCGACUCUCUGGUCUGUAACUGACGCUGAGGAGCGAAAGCGUGGGGAGCGAACAGGAUUAGAUACCCCAGUAGUCCCUGUCUCUUAUAA